GUGAAUCAUCAAAUUUUUGAACGCAAAUUGCACUCUCCUCGGAGAGUAUGCCUGUUUGAGGGUCAGCCUAUAAAAAUCGCCAUCGUUGCUGUUUCGCGGGGGCGUUGGUGGGAAUUUGGGUCAUUUUAAAUCUUUUUGAUCAAAGCGACUAAAAAUUUCCUUUUGGUUCCAUGACGGUUUUAAGGACCUAUUUUUUUACACGUUUAAGGAAC
rnacentral:misc_RNA from 1 species